rnacentral:rRNA from 1 species
CCGAUGAAUGUGUGAUCAUUAAUUGACCAGUGUGAACUGUCCAACAAAUCUUUAGGGGUCGGCACAGGUAGAAGUGGUCGUUAAAUGGUGGAUAUUCCUUCCAGCAGCCCCGCCAUUGUGUGUUACUAUGCAUAUUGAACGUAAAAGACUGAGAGAACGUAUCUUCAUGAUCACCAUGAAAGGAAAAACUUUUAAAGAAAGAGACAAACAACUUUUGACGGUGGAUCUCUUGGCUCACGUAUCGAUGAAGAACGCAGCCAGCUGCGAUAUGUAGUGUGAAUUGCAGAAUUCAGUGAAUCAUUGAAUCUUUGAACGCAAAUGGCGCUCUUGGGUUCUCCCAGGAGCAUGUCUGUCUGAGUGUCGGAUUUUAUCGAACGCACACUCACGAGUGAGUGUGCGGUAUUGAGGUGUCACGGCGUGAAGAAUCAGUGUAUUAAUGAUCGCCGUGUCCCUUGAGGAGCAGCAGCAGCAGCAGCAUUCUCUAUUGAAACUUGAGUGCGAAGGCUAAAGAUAUUGCUAUUUUCCUUCGCUGCAGGUUGGUUUAGGGUUGUUGGGUUGCUGAAAAAGAGAAAGAAACAAAUGCAAUCAAUCUUGACCUCAGAUCAGGCAAGGCUACCCGCUGAAUUUAA